GAUGAACGCUGGCGGUAUGCUUAACACAUGCAAGUCGAACGGUCACUUCGGUGAUAGUGGCGGACGGGUGAGUAACGCGUGAGAAUCUGUCUUCAGGUCGGGGACAACAGUUAGAAAUGAUUGCUAAUACCGGAUAUGCCUUAUGGUGAAAGAUUUAUUGCCUGAAAAAGAGCUCGCGUCAGAUUAGCUAGUAGGUGGUGUAAGAGACUACCUAGGCGACGAUCUGUAGCUGGUCUGAGAGGACGAUCAGCCACACUGGAACUGAGACACGGUCCAGACUCCUACGGGAGCAGCAGUGGGGAAUUUUCCGCAAUGGGCGAAAGCCUGACGGAGCAAUACCGCGUGAGGGGCGAAAGGCUUUUUGGGGUCGUAAACCUCUUUUCUCUAAGGAAGACACAGGACGGACUUGAGGAAUAAGCAAUCGGCUAACUCUGUGCCAGCAGCCGCGGUAAU
rnacentral:rRNA from 1 species